UGUGGAGAUGCUGAAGGAGAUGAUC
rnacentral:piRNA from 1 species